GAUAAACGCUGGCGGCGUGCCUAACACAUGCAAGUCGAACGCCCUGGAGCAAUUCAGGGAGUGGCGGACGGGUGAGGAACACGUGGGUGAUCUGCCUUGAGGUGAGGAAUACCGGCGAGAAAUCGCCGACAAUACCGCAUAGGUUCGUAAGAACAAAGUCGCAAGACGCCUUGAGAUGAGCCUGCGUCCGAUUAGCCAGUUGGUGGGGUAAUGGCCUACCAAAGCAGCGAUCGGUAGCUGGUCUGAGAGGACGAUCAGCCACACUGGGAUUGAGAAC
rnacentral:rRNA from 1 species